UUAUCAUGGCUAUUUCCCAAAUGGUUUCUGUGAGUAAUUUGCGGAUAAUCUCGCAGUCGCAGGGGCUUUCUGCAACGUUACCGUGUUAACGUCGUUAGGCGGUGACAUGACCGGACAUGUUUUCUAACGGGCGACGACCGCUGCGGGGCCGGCCCGGGCCCUGCGCUCUCGCCGAGCCCCGGCGGCCGGCGCCGCUCCCCCGCAGCUUCCCGCCGCCGCGGUUUCCCAGCGCCCCGCGCGGCGCGGCGACGCCCGCCCCGGCCCUCGGGAGGAAAAGCGGAGCCGCCGCCGGGCCUGGGCGCUCCCCGAGAUGCCACUGCUGAUUAACGGUGAGCGGGUCGACUUGGCCCAGCCUACGGGGGACAUGAUCCGCGCCUACCCGCACCUCGAGGAAAAGGCAAAACUUUUGAGAAGUCAGCCUGCUCAAAUUGUGGAACCCAAAGGUCUUCUGUAUGUCCAGCAGAGAGAGUUUGCGGUGACUACCCCUGAAGAUGGUUCUGUUUCCAUUCUUGGAUCAGAUGAUGCAACUACCUGCCACAUAGUUGUGCUCCGACACACAGGCAGUGGAGCGACCUGCUUGACACACUGUGACGGAUCGGACACAGAAGCUGAGGUGUCACUCAUCAUGAGUUCAGUAAAAGCUUUUUCUGACCGCAUAGGAUAUGGCAGGCUGGAAGUGCACCUAGUUGGAGGUUUCAAUGAUGAUAGGCAGUUAUCACAAAAACUUACUAAUCAGCUUCUUAGAGCAUUCGAUCUCCAAACAGAUGAUGUUCAUUUAGUGACUUUCUGCGUAACAGAACUAAAUGACAGAGAAGAAAAGGAUAUUCACUUUCCAAUCAUUUAUGGAGUAGCUGUGAAUGUUAAAACAGCAGAAAUUUUCCCUGCAACCUUCCCAGAAAAAGGGCCGGAUGAGGAUUUGCGUUCAGCCCACAUUUUAACAGGAGCAACGCUCACUAACAUUUAUGAUGCAAAGAUGGAACAACUACAUAUUGGGCCUUAUUUCUGGAGGCCUUUCCCACAUGUGGAUUUCUGGCUUGAACAGGAUGAUAAAGAGAUUUUACAGAAAUGAGCCUGUGACCCAAAUUCUUCAGAGAUCUGCUUAGCAAACGAGUGGUCAUCAAAUGCUGAAUCUGACUGGGAAGAAUUUUUAGGUUUAUAGAGUACAUUUUGGUUUCUAGAAGUACCCAGGACUUAAACCAGCCUCACAGUAAGUCUAACCAGGUGAGGAAAUUAAGUGCCCAACACUAGAGGAAUGAAAGGACAGACGUUCAUUUGUGAUGCAAGUCAUUUAGGAAUUCUACUUUAGAGAACAUCUGGAGAACACUAAUCAGUUCCUAGGACUAAAUAGCCGAUGUAUUAGCGUGCGAUAAAAGUGAACGGGCACCACAUAGAUAUCUGAAUUAAGUCAUCUGUAAAGAAGCCACUCUGUAAGUCAAUCAUAAAUACAAUUUACAGAUAAUAUUGAAAUAUCUUGAUCUACGUAACUUUUUUCUUCAGUUAUCUAUCCACUGAUACAUCAAAAUGGAGAGAGCUAAGGAUUUAAUAAAAAAUUAGCUAAUAAAAAGGAUUUUCUGAUCUUAGAAAGUAGUAAGGACAAUACCCUUUUUCAUUACAUCAGUAGCUAGCAUCAGAACAUUUCCUCUUCCCAUAGCCAAACAGAUCAUGAACUCGCUUCCAUGAUGGUUUAAACUGAACUAAACAAACCAUCACAGCAUCCCCAAGUAACUUUAUUCUAAACUCUACUUUUCUGUGUACCCCAGGAUCCUCCCACGUCCAUGUCGGGUGUUUUCAUGGCCUAAGCCACUCCCCCCACACAAGCUAAAAGCAGAUACCAUGUGAGCCCCUGCAAGUUGCUCCGUGCAUCUAUCGAGUCUAAACAAAGUAUGUACAUGGUGCUGAUAAACAUGAAAUUUAAGACACUUCCCAAAACGUAGAUUUUUAUUUUUACCCCCUACAUCAGUAAUAACAGAAAAACCUAGAGGUUUUGUAAAGAAUUAUUCUCGUUAAGUACCCAUAUUUUGAACACAAGCACCAUUUCAGUGUUGAAACACCUCUGUAGAAAGGUGAAGCAUCUUGUGUUAAGCAGCUGAAAGAAGGAAAGGUAGGGAUGAUUUAUCCUUCAUAUUUCUUUUAUAACUGAUAGAAACAAAGAGUUUUUCCCUUUGCUUUUCCUAAUGAAUUUAAAAACGAUCAGCAAAAGUCUUUUUCUGCAGAGGUAGCGAGGCAAUGUCACCCACAACAGCUGAGCUAAUACUAAUGCACCCAUUGCCAAGGCACAGCACAAUGAUAAACAAAACAAAACUAUCUCGGCUUUUAUAAGAAAA